CCAACUCAUAUCUUCGACCAGGCUACACACGUGCUACAAUGGCGCAUACAAAGAGAAGCGACCUCGCGAGAGCAAGCGGACCUCAUAAAGUGCGUCGUAGUCCGGAUUGGAGUCUGCAACUCGACUCCAUGAAGUCGGAAUCGCUAGUAAUCGUGGAUCAGAAUGCCACGGUGAAUACGUUCCCGGGCCUUGUACACACCGCCCGUCACACCAUGGGAGUGGGUUGCAAAAGAAGUAGGUAGCUUAACCUUCGGGAGGGCGCUUACCACUUUGUGAUUCAUGACUGGGGUGAAGUCGUAACAAGGUAACCGUAGGGGAACCUGCGGUUGGAUCACCUCCAUAA
rnacentral:rRNA from 1 species